rnacentral:tRNA from 1 species
GGUCUCGUGGUGUAGNGGGUUAACAUGUCUGCCUGUCACGCAGAAGAUCGCGGGUUCGAAUCCCGUCGAGACCGCCA